UAGUAACAGGAGGAUGUCUUUUUG
rnacentral:piRNA from 1 species